rnacentral:rRNA from 1 species
GCUCUUAGUACGAGAGGACCGGAGUGGACGGACCGAUGGUGAACCAGUUGUGACUUCAGUCGCAUCGCUGGGUAGCUAAGUCCGGAAGGGAUAACCGCUGAAGGCAUCUAAGUGGGAAACCCACCUCAAGAUAAAAUCUCCCAUUCGAUCUGCAAAGACGAAGUAAGGGGCCAUGUAGACUACGUGGAGAUAGGCCGGGUGUGGACGCGCAGCGAUGCGUGAAGCUUACCGGUACUAAUACCCCGAGGAUUUACCCUU